CUUUUGAUAGCUUAAUAGUGAAAGUUUUAGAUUUUUACUCUAGAGAUGGUGAUUACCUCAUUGGA
rnacentral:tRNA from 1 species